GUACAUAUUGUUUCUACUGUGUGUCAAAUACAUUUGUUUACUCUUCCCUCUCUGGAUGCUCCAGUAUUAGAGAUGAAGCAAGGAAGAAGACGAUGUGCACAGCCCAGGAUUUCUACUGCAGUCAGCAUCUGACUGUGCUCUUCAGGAAGGUUCCAGUUCAAGCAGUAAAGCCCUACUUCCUUUCUGCAUCCCAGGAAGUUGACACUGGAUGAGACCCCUUCCCUGAGUUUAUGGGUCUUACAAGCUUGCUCAUGAUAAUCUCCGACUCAGGCACUAAGGAAGUGCUUCUCCCCAACUUCUGAGAAGAUUCCACUGAAGACUCACUCACCACACCUAGCUGGUAGUAUUAGUACUUACAUCUAUUUUUCCACAUUUUGUACUUUUACUUCCAUCAUUUAUUUCUCAUACAACUUCUGACUGUGCUGUUCAGUAAGAUUCCAAUUCAAGCCAUGCUUCCUCUUUGCAUCUCAAGAAGUUGACACUGGAGGAGACCCCUUCCCUGAGUUUAUGCUCCCUCUCUGGACACUCCAGUAUUUGAGAUGAAGCAAGACUCUGGUCAGGAGGGAUAUUUACUUUGAGUUGAUAUCUAGAUGGAUCCUAUUGAUGACCCUAAGAACGGCAAUGAACUAGAAACAUGAAGGUUCUGGGAAGCCAGGAAAUGAAUGAGCAGUCUCCACCAACAGAAUGGCAGCCAAGACACUUUCAUCAAUACUGGAUUUAUUAUGGUUUUAUACAUAUUUUAGAAAAAUGUUGAUCAUUGCAAGAAAAGAAUGGCACAUGUGGAGGGUCUCACAAGCUUGCUCAUGAUAAUCUCAGACUCAGGCAUGGAGGAACUGCUUAUCCCCAACUUCUGCGAAGGUUUCACUGAAGACACACUCACCACACCUAGCUGGAAGACUUGAGCUCAAUCAGUCUGCUAGACCUGUACCUGAAUAGGAGGAAAAUGCAACACAGAAAGAGGAGAAUGAACCUCAUACUGUCAUCAUCCUGCUGAAGAUGAUCUCAGACUCAGGCAUGAAGGAGGUCCUUCUCUGCCUUUUCCAGAGAAGCUUUUGAUAAAGACACAGAUCACACACACAGCUGAUGGGCUGAUUUUUAGACUUGUAAUCUUCAUUUUGCAUCUAACAUGUGUCAAUCAGCACCUGUAUUCACCUGUCACUUCAGUGAGGCUCUUGCCUGGCUCACAUAUGGUACAGUGGUGCACAAACUGUACGAAGAGAGUAACAGUUGGAGACCACAGCAAGAUCAGGAGUUACAGUUGGAGGCCCAUCAGCAUGAUUGGGAAGUAGGGGACCCCUGAGAGAUUGCCCUUGGAUGCUGGCCAGCAGGUACAUAUUGUUUCUACUGUGUGGAAAAUACAUUUGUUUACCCUUCCCUGUCUGCACACUCCAGUAUUUGAGAUCAAGCAAGUCUACACAGACUGCUAGAUGACUGUAUCAGCAACCUGAUUGGAUUGGAAACAUGAACCAUUGGCAAC